rnacentral:rRNA from 1 species
UACGUAGGGUGCGAGCGUUAAUCGGAAUUACUGGGCGUAAAGUGUGCGCAGGCGGCCGCGCAAGUCGAGUGUGAAAUCCUCGAGCUUAACUUGGGAAUUGCGCUCGAAACUACGUGGCUGGAGUGUGGCAGAGGAAGGUGGAAUUCCACGUGUAGCGGUGAAAUGCGUAGAGAUGUGGAGGAACACCGAUGGCGAAGGCAGCCUUCUGGGCCAACACUGACGCUCAUGCACGAAAGCGUGGGGAGCAAACAGG